UCUUCUGAGACUUUCAUGAAUCAAAGAAGACAUAAAGAUACAAAAAAGGGCAAACCACCUUAAACAAGACCAACGGCCAAUCAGAAACCAAACAUGACAGGUUUUUGAACAUUUGAAGGUGCAAUGCACCGUAUACUGGACUUUGUUCCAUCCUCUCCAAUAUUAUUCCAAUAUGGAA